AGAGUUUGAUCAUGGCUCAGAACGAACGCUGGCGGCGCGUUUAAGCAUGCAAGUCGAGCGGCAAGGGCCUUCGGGCCCCUAGAGCGGCGGACGGGUGAGUAACACGUGGACAAUCUGCCCCCCGGCCCGGGAUAGCCCAGGGAAACCUGGAUUAAUACCGGAUGAGACGGGACCCGCGAUGGCGGGAUCCGGGAAAGGCGCUGCGGCGCCGCCGGGGGAUGAGUCUGCGUCCCAUUAGCUAGACGGCGGGGUAACGGCCCACCGUGGCGACGAUGGGUAGCCGGCCUGAGAGGGUGGACGGCCACAUUGGAACUGAGACACGGUCCAGACUCCUACGGGAGGCAGCAGCUAAGAAUCUUCCGCAAUGGGCGAAAGCCUGACGGAAGCGACGCCGCGUGAACGAAGAAGGCCGUGAGGUUGUAAAGUUCUUUUCGGGAGGGGGAACAACCGUGGCAGGGAAUGGCCGCGGGAUGACGUGAAUCCCGGAAUAAGCCCCGGCUAACUACGUGCCAGCCGCGGC
rnacentral:rRNA from 1 species